rnacentral:tRNA from 1 species
GGGCCCUUAGCUCAGUUGGGAGAGCGCUUCGCUGGCAGCGAAGAGGUCAACGGUUCGAUCCCGUUAGGGUCCACCA